rnacentral:rRNA from 1 species
GGGCCCGCACAAGCAGUGGAGCAUGUGGUUUAAUUCGAAGCUACGCGAAGAACCUUACCAGGGCUUGACAUAGUGUCUAAGACUCUAGAGAUAGAGGGAUAAUAGGUACAUACAGGUGGUGCAUGGUUGUCGUCAGCUCGUGUCGUGAGAUGUUAGGUUAAGUCCUCCAACGAGCGCAACCCUUGUCCUUAGUUGCCAGCAUUUAGUUGGGGACUCUAGGGAGACCGCCGGCGUAAGCCGGAGGAAGGUGGGGAUGACGUCAAAUCAUCAUGCUCUUUAUGUCCUGGGCGACACACGUGCUACAAUGGUCGGUACAAUGAGAUGCAAAAUCGCGAGGUAGAGCAAAUCUAUAAAGCCGAUCUCAGUUCGGAUUGGAGUCUGCAACUCGACUCCAUGAAGUCGGAAUUGCUAGUAAUCGCAAAUCAGCCAUGUUGCGGUGAAUACGUUCCCGGGCCUU